AGUUUUCUCUCUUUCUCUCUCUAUAUUAUCGAGCGUAUUAUUGUGAGUAUACUUUGAGUGUUGCUAUACGGUGCGAGUUUCUGUCAGCACUAUACCGAAAUUCAGUCAGAAGUACGGUUAUUUUGAGGUAAAGGAUGUUAUUUCUUUCGCAAAUGAUAUUAUUUUCUUCAAUAUCAUUAUGCCAAAAUAUUGGUUGAACUUUUUAUCAAAUUUGGAACUUUUUCAUGUCGGGGUUACUAUUCAUGGGUUACUAUUCAUGAGUUACUAUUCAC
rnacentral:lncRNA from 1 species